CCUACGGGGUGCAGCAGUGGGGAAUAUUGGGCAAUGGACGCAAGUCUGACCCAGCAACGCCGCGUGAAGGAAGAAGGCUUGCGGGAUGUAAACUUCUUGUAAGGGGGAAGAGCAGAAGACGGGACCCCUGGAAUAAGCCAUGGCUAACUACGUGCCAGCAGCCGCGGUAAUACGUAGGUGGCAAGCGUUGUCCGGAUUUACGGGGGGUAAAGGGCGUGCAGCCGGGGAGACAAGUCAGAUUUGAAAUCCACGGGCUCAACCCGUGAACUGCCUUUGAAACUGUUUCCCUUGAGUGUCGGAGAGGUAAUCGGAAUUCCUUGUGUAGCGGUGAAAUGCGUAGAUAUAAGGAAGAACACCAGUGGCGACGGCGGCUUACUGGACGAUAACUGCCGGUGCGGCGCGACAGCGUGGGGCGCAAACAGGAUUAGCUACCCUUGUAGUC
rnacentral:rRNA from 1 species